AAAAAGAAAACAUUAAAAAGAAAAAAACAAAAAAGAAGUGGGUAAAAACAUCGAGAUAACUUUUUAAGGGAAAUUUGGGUGUUUUAGAGCCCUAAACCAUUGGAAUUGUUCGUUAAUAGCGAAAUUUUUUGAAUGAAAUUUAUUAUUUGAGAUAAAAUGAAGAGAGAUCAGUCUUAGAAAUCGUUAAUUAAUUGAGUGGAAUAAAGUUGUUCAUAG
rnacentral:lncRNA from 1 species